GGCAGCAGCUAAGAAUAUUCCGCAAUGGGGGAAACCCUGACGGAGCGACGCCGCGUGGACGAUGGAGGCCGGAAGGUUGUAAAGUCCUCUGGCGCCCGAGGAAAGGCCCGCGCAGGGAAUGGCGCGGGGGUGACUGUAGGGCGAGAACAAGCACCGGCUAAUUACGUGCCAGCAGCUGCGGUAACACGUAAGGUGCGAGCGUUGUUCGGAAUCAUUGGGCGUAAAGGGCGCGUAGGCGGCCGAGCAAGCGGGGUGUGAAAGGCGGGGGCCCAACCCCCGGACUGCGCCCCGAACUGUUUGGCUGGAGUCGCCGUGGCGCCGGCGGAAUUCCAGGUGUAGGGGUGAAAUCUGUAGAUAUCUGGAAGAACACCGGUGGCGAAGGCGGCCGGCGAGCGGACGACUGACGCUGAGGCGCGAAGGUGCGGGGAGCGAACAGGAUUAGAUACCCUGGUAGUCCGCACAGUAAACGAUGCACACUGGGCGUCCGGGCACGAGCCUGGGCGCCGAAGCGAACGCGGGAAGUGUGCCGCCUGGGGAGUAUGCCCGCAAGGGUGAAACUCAAAGGAAUUGACGG
rnacentral:rRNA from 1 species